GACGAACCGAGCGAACGUUGUUCGGAAUCACUGGGCUUAAAGGGCGCGUAGGCGGGUGCUCAAGUCUGUGGUGAAAUCCUCCGGCUCAACCGGAGAACUGCCAUGGAUACUGGGUGUCUCGAGGGUGGUAGGGGUAUGCGGAACUAUCGGUGGAGCGGUGAAAUGCGUUGAUAUCGAUAGGAACUCCGGUGGCGAAGGCGGCAUACUGGACCGGUAUUGACGCUGAGGCGCGAAAGCUAGGGGAGCAAACGGG
rnacentral:rRNA from 1 species